GUGAAUCAUCAAAUUUUUGAACGCAAAUUGCACUCUCCGGUUUUCCGGGGGAGUAGGCCUGUUUAAGGUUCAGCCUAAUAAAAAUCGGCGUUGUUGCUGCUUUAUGGUGUCUUUCGCCGGAGUUGGGUUAUCUUACAUCUCGGUUUAAGCGACUUAAAAAUUUUUUUUACUUUUCUAAGAAUGUUUCUAAGAUUUUCCUUCUUUGUUUAAGGUAUCGACUGUC
rnacentral:misc_RNA from 1 species